rnacentral:rRNA from 1 species
CCUACGGGAGGCUGCAGUGGGGAAUAUUGCACAAUGGGGGAAACCCUGAUGCAGCGACGCCGCGUGAGUGAAGAAGUAAUUCGUUAUGUAAAGCUCUAUCAGCAGGGAAGAAAAUGACGGUACCUGAGUAAGAAGCCCCGGCUAACUACGUGCCAGCAGCCGCGGUAAUACGUAGGGGGCGAGCGUUAUCCGGAUUUACUGGGUGGAAAGGGAGCGUAGGCGGCAGUGCAAGUCUGGAGUGAAAGGCGGGGGCUCAACCCCCGGACUGCUCUGGAAACUGUACGGCUGGAGUGCAGGAGAGGUAAGUGGAAUUCGUAGUGUAGCGGUGAAAUGCGUAGAUAGUAGGAGGAACACCAGUGGCGAAGGCGGCUUACUGGACUGUAACUGACGUUGAGGCUCGAAAGCGUGGGGAGCAAACAGGAUUAGAUACCCCGGUAGUC